rnacentral:lncRNA from 1 species
UGGUCUACAAACCCGGCUUGGAGAAUAAAGCAGCAGACGCCUUGUCUUGGAUGCCUCCUACAGUUAACCUCGGUAGCAUAACAGCUCCUACAUUGGUUGACAUUCUGGUGAUUAAAAAGGAAGUCGAAGCGGAUGAAAAGUUGAGCAAAAUAAUGGAAGAGCUACAAGCAAUGGAAGAAGGAACAGAGGGUAAAUUCUCCAUCCGAAAAGGUAUGUUAAGAUAUAAGGAUAAGUUUGUGCUGUCCAAAACAUCUACAUUGAUACCCACAAUCCUACAUACUUACCAUGAUUCGGUACUUGGAGACCAUUCUGGAUUUUUACGCACAUACAAACGACAAACUGGUGAGCUAUAUUGGGAAGGAAUGAAGGCGGAUGUUGAGAAGUAUUGUGAGGAAUGUGUAAUAUGUCAGAAGAACAACUCCCUAGCACUAUCCCCCACCGGACUGCUGCUGUCCCUGGACAGUCCAAACAAUAUUUGGAGCGAUAUAUCUAUGGACUUUAUCGAGGGCUUACCAAGAUCGAAUGGUUUCGAAGUCAUCUUUGUAGUGGUGGACAGAUUCAGCAAAUAUAUUUGUUAAGGAGAUUGUCCGACUUCAUGGCUU